rnacentral:rRNA from 1 species
AUACGUAGGGGGCGAGCGUUGUCCGGAUUUACUGGGCGUAAAGGGUGAGUAGGCGGUUGCAUAUGUCAGAUGUAAAAGGCACAGGCUCAACUUGUGUUAGCAUUUGAAACUGUGCGACUUGAGUGCAGGAGAGGUAAGUGGAAUUCCUAGUGUAGCGGUGAAAUGCGUAGAUAUUAGGAGGAACACCAGUAGCGAAGGCGGCUUUCUGGACUGUAACUGACACUGAGGCACGAAAGCGUGGGGAGC